UACGUAGGGUGCGAGCGUUAAUCGGAAUUACUGGGCGUAAAGCGUGCGCAGGCGGUUAUGUAAGACAGAUGUGAAAUCCCCGGGCUCAACCUGGGAACUGCAUUAGUGACUGCAUAGCUGGAGUACGGCAGAGGGGGAUGGAAUUCCGCGUGUAGCAGUGAAAUGCGUAGAUAUGCGGAGGAACGACCGAUGGCGAAGGCAAUCCCCUGGGCCUGUACUGACGCUCAUGCACGAAAGCGUGGGGAGCAAACAGGAUUAGAUACCUGGUAGUCAAGGC
rnacentral:rRNA from 1 species